GAUCGCUAAAGAAUAUAGUGAUAUAUGUCAGUAAAGGUUGAGAAAAAGCUGUUUUUCUAAAGAAAGUACGUUAGAAUUAAUCUCGCUACAUUCUCUACUGGUUUUUGUAAGAUCUGCUCUUGUUAAUUUCCUUGUAAGAUUUGUAACAUUUUUUAAUUUUAAUUUUAUUGAGGUAUUAUCAUGGCAACAGGAACAGUUAAGUGGUUCAACGAAUCUAAAGGCUUCGGCUUUAUUACUCCAGAAGAUGGCAGCAAAGAUGUAUUCGUACAUUUCUCAGCUAUCGCUAGCGAAGGUUUUCGUACAUUAAACGAAGGUCAGCAAGUGAACUUCGACGUAGAGAAUGGCCCUAAAGGCCCACAAGCUGUAAACGUAACAGCUUAAGUUUCUAUUCGUAUGAAAAAGCCUCGCUUAAUGCGGGGCUUUUUUU
rnacentral:sRNA from 1 species